rnacentral:lncRNA from 1 species
AACAAAUACCUAAGUAGUGUACUUAACCACUUAUCCUUAAUCCUGUCGGGAUUAAGUUCACUAACCACCUUAAGAGAAGGCUAUGGUCCUAGGUGAGUAGUACCCGAAACAGAAACACCAAAAAGGAAAACGCAAUGACGGUUAAACCGUACACACAAAUAGUUAAGAUGAAAUAAGAAGAAAAAAACUUAUAGGCAUAUUUUUUAUUCUUUUUGGGGAAAAGCAGACUUAUUGUAGCUAGCUUAGGCAAAUUUGUAUUCAGGCAUUGAAGCACUGAAAUAUGCACAUGCUUGCAAUUCCAGCAUGAGUUUUGUUACUUCUCCGAGAAUUGAAGCAUGAGUUUCGCAUUGAAGUUGUAUCUUAAACCGGAGCAUGAGUUUAGGUUAAAUCUGCAGCUUCCCGCAGUACUUGAUUUGAUCCAAACAAAAUCCCCCUGCCCAGAUCGUGAGAUGUUUAUGUUCUAUAACCGCCAAACCAGACGGAGCUAGCGAUCGAAUCCAGGUCGGCGGGUCAGUCCGGCCAGUUGAGCUGAACUUGAUACUCACUAGCAAUAGCAAUACAUAGCUUGUCUUACAUUCUAGAAUAGCAAGGGUUUGUCGUUUAACUUCUUAUAAUUGAGUGAGGAGGUCCAAGUCUGACCCUACCUUAAUUUCCAUAUCUCCUCAAUCAUCAUCGGACUGUCAAUCACUCUUAUGCCUCACAGCGUCAGUUUUUUCCAGUUAGUAAACAGUUUAAACAAUAGAAUAAACUCUCUAAAUUAACUAGGCUCAUACGUACGGCCAUACACAAUCCUUACUAUAACAACAGAAAUCGUGUUUGCGUCGAAAUGGCGUGCAGCCGUUAUUAGUAGAAUAGAUUUUUCGUGUAAUUGUUAGCAAUUAUUUAAGAAGAAAGUUUGGUAUGCUUAGAGACUUAGAGCGGUGUUAGAUUACGAUCAGUGAAUAAAUAAACCUAAAGUGAAGAGAGUACGUUGUAUACGUAUGUUUGCGGAUCUUGCAGGAACA